GCUGGAUAUCUGCUAAUUUCGUUGUGUUCUGUGUUAUAAGAUGAUGUGUGAUAUUACAAUGUGUAUGAAGAAUAUUUAAAGAAUAUUUGCAUGUCAUUAACGCAAGCCUUUAGUGUCUUUUUACAACAGAUUAAAAAAACGCUGAUCAGCCAACAAGAAAGGGGCCCCUGGGAAAGAAAAAGAAAAAAUAUAUAAUUUGCUUUUCAAAAUCGUGGAUCCACGUUUCAGUAUAAUUAGG